CUCAUGGAUCAGCCUGAGCUCCUCCCUCAGAGCCGAGCGCAGCUUGACGCCUCGGACCAGAGGACCCGAAGUCUGAGCUGAAAGAUUUCGGCCGACCGGUUAGAAAGGAUCAUCUUCCACAGACACAGCAACGAGGAUGUGGGAGACACCCUCCUCUGAAGUCUCUCCUGGUGCUGAGAGCAGAAACAACUCGUCAAACUGCUGAUCAUCUACAUUUACUCUCACGCUGAACACAAGCCACCCAACCGUCUCACAGGCGAGCAUCAGUGAACCUCUGCAUUAGAAACAAGCCCAAACCGAAGAACCCAGUCCGCCCAGUCUGCCCAGUCCGGUCCUGCAGUGGGAACUGGAGCUCCGACUCAGACCUGUUGGAUCUGGUUCUACGCCGUC